rnacentral:lncRNA from 1 species
CACAAAAGCCAGGCAGAGGCUAGGGCAUGUCUGGUCUGGCUCAAGCAACCCUGCACUAGGCUGGACACCGCUGCCGCGGUUCCCGCCGGGAGCCCUCGAAACCUCAGAAUUCAUUCUCAAAAUGUUCCUUAGGUUGUGGAGUCCGGCCUGGGAGAUUGGCCGCCGCCGUGGAAGCAGCUCAUGCACAAACAGCCCUCCAUCUUGUACCCUUGCAGUAUGUGCCCUACUGUCGCCAGGUACACAGGUUGACUUGCAGCGUUGGUGCAGUCUACAAGGGCUUCCAAGGCAAGUAGUUUUUCAAUGAGGCUCUUUAAUUUUAGGAAGGUCAAACUGAAGGAGGGGUGGGGCAGGGCUCCAUCCUGUAAGACAGUUUUCACUUCCCAAUAUUGUAGGGCUUUCUGG